rnacentral:lncRNA from 1 species
GGUCCCCAAACCCCAGGCCACAGACCAGUACCAGUCUGCGGCCUGUUAGGAAGUAGGCCACACCACCAGAGGUGAUCAGCGGGUGAGCAAGCGAAGCUUCAUCUGUAUUUACAGCCACCCCCCAUCACUUGCAUUACCACCUGAGCUCCACCUCCUGUCAGAUUGGUGGCAGCAUUAGAUUCUCAUAGGAGCACGAACCCUACUGUGAACUGCGCACGCGAGGGAUCUAGGUUGCACGCUCCUUAUGAGAAUCUAAUGCCUGAUGAUCUGUCACUGUCUCCUAUUACCCCCAGAUAGGACCGCCUAGUUGCAAGAAAACAAGCUCAGAGCUCCCACCGAUUCUACA